rnacentral:rRNA from 1 species
AUUGAACGCUGGCGGCAGGCCUAACACAUGCAAGUCGAGCGGAUGACGGGAGCUUGCUCCUUGAUUCAGCGGCGGACGGGUGAGUAAUGCCUAGGAAUCUGCCUGGUAGUGGGGGACAACGUUUCGAAAGGAACGCUAAUACCGCAUACGUCCUACGGGAGAAAGCAGGGGACCUUCGGGCCUUGCGCUAUCAGAUGAGCCUAGGUCGGAUUAGCUUGUUGGUGAGGUAAUGGCUCACCAAGGCGACGAUCCGUAACUGGUCUGAGAGGAUGAUCAGUCACACUGGAACUGAGACACGGUCCAGACUCCUACGGGAGGCAGCAGUGGGGAAUAUUGGACAAUGGGCGAAAGCCUGAUCCAGCCAUGCCGCGUGUGUGAAGAAGGUCUUCGGAUUGUAAAGCACUUUAAGUUGGGAGGAAGGGUUGUAGAUUAAUUCUCUGCAAUUUUGACGUUACCGACAGAAUAAGCACCGGCUAACUCUGUG